rnacentral:rRNA from 1 species
UCCUACGGGAGGCAGCAGUGGGGAAUAUUGGACAAUGGGCGCAAGCCUGAUCCAGCCAUGCCGCGUGAGUGAUGAAGGCCUUAGGGUUGUAAAGCUCUUUCACCGGAGAAGAUAAUGACGGUAUCCGGAGAAGAAGCCCCGGCUAACUUCGUGCCAGCAGCCGCGGUAAUACGAAGGGGGCUAGCGUUGUUCGGAAUUACUGGGCGUAAAGCGCACGUAGGCGGAUAUUUAAGUCAGGGGUGAAAUCCCAGAGCUCAACUCUGGAACUGCCUUUGAUACUGGGUAUCUCGAGUAUGGAAGAGGUAAGUGGAAUUCCGAGUGUAGAGGUGAAAUUCGUAGAUAUUCGGAGGAACACCAGUGGCGAAGGCGGCUUACUGGUCCAUUACUGACGCUGAGGUGCGAAAGCGUGGCGAGCAAACAGGAUUAGAUACCCUGGUAG